rnacentral:rRNA from 1 species
UGGGGAAUAUUGCACAAUGGGCGCAAGCCUGAUGCAGCCAUGCCGCGUGUGUGAAGAAGGCCUUCGGGUUGUAAAGCACUUUCAGCGAGGAGGAAGGGUAGUGUGUUAAUAGCACAUUGCAUUGACGUUACUCGCAGAAGAAGCACCGGCUAACUCCGUGCCAGCAGCCGCGGUAAUACGGAGGGUGCAAGCGUUAAUCGGAAUUACUGGGCGUAAAGCGCACGCAGGCGGUUUGUUAAGUCAGAUGUGAAAUCCCCGCGCUUAACGGGGGAACUGCAUUUGAAACUGGCAAGCUAGAGUCUUGUAGAGGGGGGUAGAAUUCCAGGUGUAGCGGUGAAAUGCGUAGAGAUCUGGAGGAAUACCGGUGGCGAAGGCGGCCCCCUGGACAAAGACUGACGCUCAGGUGCGAAAGCGUGGGAGCAAACA